ACGCUGGCGGCAGGCUUAACACAUGCAAGUCGAACGGUAACAGGAAUUAGCUUGCUAAUUUGCUGACGAGUGGCGGACGGGUGAGUAAUGCUUGGGAAUCUGGCUUAUGGAGGGGGAUAACUACGGGAAACUGUAGCUAAUACCGCGUAAAAUCUUCGGAUUAAAGGGUGGGACUUUCGAGCCACCUGCCAUAAGAUGAGCCCAAGUGGGAUUAGGUAGUUGGUUAGGUAAAGGCUGACCAAGCCGACGAUCUCUAGCUGGUCUGAGAGGAUGACCAGCCACACUGGAACUGAGACACGGUCCAGACUCCUACGGGAGGCAGCAGUGGGGAAUAUUGCACAAUGGGGGGAACCCUGAUGCAGCCAUGCCGCGUGAAUGAAGAAGGCCUUCGGGUUGUAAAGUUCUUUCGGUGACGAGGAAGGUUGAUAGGUUAAUAGCCUAUCAAAUUGACGUUAAUCACAGAAGAAGCACCGGCUAACUCCGUGCCAGCAGCCGCGGUAAUACGGGGGGUGCGAGCGUUAAUCGGAAUAACUGGGCGUAAAGGGCACGCAGGCGGUGACUUAAGUGAGAUGUGAAAGCCCCGAGCUUAACUUGGGAAUUGCAUUUCAUACUGGGUCGCUAGAGUACUUUAGGGAGGGGUAGAAUUCCACGUGUAGCGGUGAAAUGCGUAGAGAUGUGGAGGAAUACCGAAGGCGAAGGCAGCCCCUUGGGAAUGUACUGACGCUCAUGGUGCGAAAGCGUGGGGAGCAAACAGGAUUAGAUACCCUGGUAGUCCACGCUGUAAACGAUGUCGAUUUGGGGAUUGGGCUUUGAGCUUGGUGCCCGUAGCUAACGUGAUAAAUCGACCGCCUGGGGAGUACGGCCGCAAGGUUAAAACUCAAAUGAAUUGACGGGGGCCCGCACAAGCG
rnacentral:rRNA from 1 species